UAAGAUGAUGAUUGUUGUUUGUCGCCCCAGUCUUAGUUGCCUCCAUUGAUUCAACAUGGUGAUUGGCAUGUCGUUUCUGAUUC
rfam:Ipomoea nil DNA, scaffold: scaffold0298, cultivar: Tokyo-kokei standard.